UACCAGCACCCCGAGUGGUCGGGACGUUUUAUUGGGCCUAAAGCAUCCGUAGCCGGUUCUACAAGUCUUCCGUUAAAUCCAGCUGCUUAACAGAUGGGCUGCGGAAGAUACUAUGGAGCUAGGAGGCGGGAGAGGCAAGCGGUACUCGAUGGGUAGGGGUAAAAAUCCGUUGAUCCAUUGAAAGACCCACCAGUGGCGAAGGCGGCUUGCCAGAACGCGCUCGACGGUGAGGGAUGAAAGCUGGGGGAGCAAACCGG
rnacentral:rRNA from 1 species